rnacentral:rRNA from 1 species
GAUGAACGCUGGCGGCGUGCCUAAUACAUGCAAGUCGAGCGAACAGACGAUGAGCUUGCUCCUCUGACGUUAGCGGCGGACGGGUGAGUAACACGUGGAUAACCUACCUAUAAGACUGGGAUAACUUCGGGAAACCGGAGCUAAUACCGGAUAAUAUAUUGAACCGCAUGGUUCAAUAGUGAAAGACGGUUUUGCUGUCACUUAUAGAUGGAUCCGCGCCGCAUUAGCUAGUUGGUAAGGUAACGGCUUACCAAGGCGACGAUGCGUAGCCGACCUGAGAGGGUGAUCGGCCACACUGGAACUGAGACACGGCCCAGACUCCUACGGGAGGCAGCAGUAGGGAAUCUUCCGCAAUGGGCGAAAGCCUGACGGAGCAAAGCCGAGUGAGUGAUGAAGGUCUUCGGAUCGUAAAACUCUGUUAUUAGGGAAGAACAAAUGUGUAAGUAACUAUGCACGUCUUGACGGUACCUAAUCAGAAAGCCACGGCUAACUACGUG